UACGGAGGGAGCUAGCGUUGUUCGGAAUUACUGGGCGUAAAGCGUGCGCAGGCGGUUCGUUGUGUCGGCGGUGAAAGCCCCGGGCUCAACCUGGGAAUGGCCGUUGAAACUGGCGAACUGGAGUGUGGCAGAGGGGGGUGGAAUUCCGCGUGUAGCAGUGAAAUGCGUAGAGAUGCGGAGGAACACCGAUGGCGAAGGCAGCCCCCUGGGCUAACACUGACGCUCAGGCACGAAAGCGUGGGGAGCAAACAGG
rnacentral:rRNA from 1 species